CGGCGACCGGCGCACGGGUGCGGAACGCGUAUGGAACCUGCCCCUGUCAGGGGAAUAGCCCAGGGAAACUUGGAUUAAUGCCCCAUGGUACCGCGAUAUCGCAUGAUAUUGCGGUUAAAGAUUUAUCGGACAGGGAUGGCCAUGCGUACCAUUAGUUAGUUGGUGGGGUAACGGCCCACCAAGGCAGCGAUGGUUAGGGGCCCUGAGAGGGGGAUCCCCCACACUGGUACUGAGACACGGACCAGACUCCUACGGGAGGCAGCAGUGAGGAAUAUUGGACAAUGGGCGGGAGCCUGAUCCAGCCAUGCCGCGUGCAGGAUGACGGCCCUAUGGGUUGUAAACUGCUUUUAUACGGGAAGAAAUGCGCCCACGUGUGGGCGUCUGACGGUACCGUAAGAAUAAGGACCGGCUAACUCCGUGCCAGCAGCCGCGGUAAUACGGAGGGUCCGAGCGUUAUCCGGAAUCAUUGGGUUUAAAGGGUCCGUAGGCGGGCCUGUAAGUCAGGGGUGAAAGUUUGUGGCUCAACCAUAAAAUUGCCUUUGAUACUGCAGGUCUUGAGUCAUGGUGGGGUCGCCGGAACAUGUGGUGUAGCGGUGAAAUGCAUAGAUAUCACAUAGAACACCGAUCGCGAAGGCAGGUGGCCAACCAUGUACUGACGCU
rnacentral:rRNA from 1 species